UACGUAGGGGGCAAGCGUUGUCCGGAUUUAUUGGGCGUAAAGCGCGCGUAGGCGGUUUGGUAAGUCCGCUGUGAAAACUCGAGGCUCAACCUCGAGACGCCGGUGGAAACCAUCAGACUAGAGUCCGGAAGAGGAGAGUGGAAUUCCUGGUGUAGCGGUGAAAUGCGCAGAUAUCAGGAAGAACACCCGUGGCGAAGGCGGCUCUCUAGUACGGUACUGACGCUGAGACGCGAAAGCGUGGGGAGCGAACAGG
rnacentral:rRNA from 1 species